CCUACGGGUGGCAGCAGUGAGGAAUAUUGCACAAUGGGGGGAACCCUGAUGCAGCGACGCCGCGUGGAGGAUGAAGGUUUUCGGAUUGUAAACUCCUUUUGUUAGAGAAGAUAAUGACGGUAUCUACCGCAUAAGCACCUGCUAACUCCGUGCCAGCAGCCGCGGUAAUACGGAGGGUGCAAGCGUUACUCGGGAUCACUGGGCGUAAAGAGCGCGUAGGUGGGAUAGCAAGUCAGAUGUGAAAUCCUAUGGCUUAACCAUAGAACUGCAUUUGAAACUAUUAUUCUAGAGUAUGGGAGAGGUAGGUGGAAUUCUUGGGGUAGGGGUAAAAUCCGUAGAGAUCAAGAGGAAUACUCAUUGCGAAGGCGACCUGCUAGAACAUAACUGACGCUGAUGCGCGAAAGCGUGGGGAGCAAACAGGAUUAGAUACCCUAGUAGUC
rnacentral:rRNA from 1 species